rnacentral:lncRNA from 1 species
AGUGGUCCAAAAAAAAGUAGGGUAAUUCUGGGUCUUACUCGACAGCUAGUGCUCCCUACCCAAAGUCAUCUAGUGAUAGAUGUUCUUAGGGUAGCAAUAAUUAUAGAGCACAUAAUGCCCAAUAUCAGGAUAGUGGGGCCCAAUUAACUCUAUCGUACCCUCUCUAUAGGUUUCAUGGUCAAUUAUCUUGGUAUUUCUGUGAUAAGGGAAGGGACAAGUGCUUCAACUAUGGUCAGC